CCCUCCCUCUUCUCAUUUUCCAUAAUUUAUAUCCACUCGGACUUAGAGUUCCUUAAAUCCUUCUUGCUUAAAAUCAAACCUGGCCCAGAAGGAAGAGCCUAAUGGCAGGAAACAGAGGAAUGAGAACACAGUGUGCUUAGGGACAGAGGCUCCGCCAUCUUCUACCCGUAGCCCUCAUACCUUGGCCCUGGGAGCAGACAUAAGCUGGCAUCCCCAAGGAAAGAAUGCACAUAUAGAAUCACUCAGGAAAGUCUGGCCAAAUGCCAAAAGUAAAACAUAUGCCUUGGGUGUCUGAAAAAGACAAUGAAAUAUACGGCGUCCAACCACAGCUUCAGGCACGUGAAGUUCUCCAAAUAAAAGCUCAGGGGGGGAAAACCCAAGUCAAACAUCUUAAAGUUCAGCCUAUGUUU